AGCUCCCAAGUUGUGCAACACCUUUGGUAAACACUUGCUGAAGCGUACACAAUGAAGCAGGGAGUUCCAUUCUAUCUCCCUUAAGAGGAGGUUGGAGCAGAAGCAACCUCACAGGUGUGAGUGGAGGCAGCCACUGCUCCUGGGAUCGCAGAAUGCAGCAAUGGAGUCUUCUGGUAGUCUCUUUCCUUCUUUCUCCAGUUCCAGUAAGUGCAAUAAAAGAGCUCCCUAAAGCCAAGAAAUAUGAAGUAGUUUAUCCUAUAAGACUUCAUCCAUUGCGUAAAAGAGAGACCCAAGAGCCAGAGCCAAAGGAAACAUUUGAAACUGAGCUAAGGUACAAAAUGACAGUAAAUGGAAAGGUCGCUGUGCUGUAUCUGAAGAAGAACAACAAGCUCCUUGCACCGGACUACUCGGAAACAUACUAUAAUUCCAGUGGAAACAAGGUCACCACAAGCCCGCAAAUCAUGGAUAGCUGUUACUACCAAGGACACAUCGUAAAUGAGAAAGUUUCUGCAGCCAGCAUCAGCACCUGUCAAGGACUACGGGGUUACAUCAGUCAAGGAGAUGAAAAGUAUUUUAUCGAACCUUUGAGUUCGGAGAACUUGGAUGAACAGGCACAUGCACUCUUCAAGGACGACUCCAAUGAAGACCAGGAGAAGAGCAACUGUGGUGUGGAUGAUGCGCUAUGGCUCCAAGGGCUGCAUCAGGAUGUGGUCCUCCCUGCCACCAGGUUGAUUAAGUUGAAUGAUGUGAUGGUUCAAGAACCUAAGAAAUACAUAGAAUAUUAUGUGGUCCUGGAUAAUGGUGAGUUUAAGAAAUACAAUAAAAAUCUUGCUGAAAUACGAAAGAUAGUGCUUGAGAUGGCCAAUUACAUCAACAUGCUUUACAAUAAGCUUGAUGCCCACGUGGCCUUAGUUGGAGUGGAAAUCUGGACCGAUGCAGAUAAAAUAAAGAUAACACCAGAUGCCAACACCACCCUGGAAAACUUCUCUAAGUGGAGGGGAAAUGAUCUACUAAAACGAAAGCAUCAUGAUAUUGCCCAGCUAAUCUCAUCAACAGACUUUUCUGGAUCAACAGUGGGUCUAGCCUUCAUGUCUUCAAUGUGUUCACCUUACCAUUCUGUUGGCAUUGUUCAGGACCACAGUAACUACCAUCUUCGAGUCGCAGGAACAAUGGCUCAUGAAAUGGGUCACAAUCUUGGCAUGAUUCAUGACUACUUCAGUUGCAAGUGUCCAUCUGAAGUCUGUGUAAUGGAGCAGUCACUAAGAUUCCAUAUGCCUACAGACUUCAGCUCCUGCAGUCGUGUCAAUUACGAACAGUUUCUUGAAGAAAAAUUAUCGCAUUGCCUCUUAAAUAGCCCAUUGCCAUCAGAUAUCAUAUCCACCCCAGUCUGUGGGAACCAGUUGUUGGAAAUGAACGAGGACUGUGACUGUGGCACACCCAAGGAAUGUACUAAUAAAUGCUGUGAUGCAAGGACCUGUAAAAUUAAAGCAGGUUUCCAGUGUGCCCUUGGGGAAUGCUGUGAGAAAUGCCAACUUAAAAAACCUGGGGUUGUGUGCAGAGCAGCAAAGGAUGAGUGUGAUCUGCCUGAAGUGUGUGAUGGUAAAUCCAGCCACUGCCCAGGUGACAGAUUCAGAGUCAAUGGCUUCCCUUGCCAAAAUGGGCAUGGUUACUGCUUGAAGGGCAGAUGUCCCACCCUGCAGCAGCAGUGCAUGGACAUGUGGGGCCCAGGAACCAAGGUUGCAAAUACAUCAUGUUACAAGCAGAAUGAAGGUGGGACAAAGUACGGAUACUGUCACGUGGAGAAUGGCACACACAUGCCCUGCAAAGCGAAAGAUGCCAUGUGUGGGAAAUUGUUCUGUGAAGGCGGAUCAGGUGAUUUGCCCUGGAAAGGACUUACCGUAUCUUUCCUGACAUGUAAAUUAUUUGAUCCUGAAGACACAAGUCAAGGAGUAGACAUGGUGGCCAAUGGAACCAAGUGUGGAACUAACAAGGUGUGCAUUAAUGCUGAGUGUGUGGACAUGGAGAAGACUUACAAGUCAGCCAAUUGCUCCUCGAAGUGCAAGGGGCACGCAACUUCUCCAUCGUGGUUGGCGUGCUUUUCCCCCUAGCAGUCAUAUUUGUGGUGGUUGCUAUAGUGAUCCAGCACCAAAGUGCCAGAAGGAAGCAGAGGAGAGUUCAGAGGCUACCACCUACCAAGGAUGCCAAGCUACACAAUCAGAAGUGUAGACCCCAAAAGGUGAAGGAUGUUCAACCCCAGGAGAUGAGUCAGAUGAAAAAGCUCCAUGUGUCUGAUCUGCCCUCCGAAGAGACGGAGCCUCCACCUGAUGUCCUAAUCACAAAGCCAAAUUUCCCACCACCACCAAUUCCUGUUUCCUUGAACCCAAAUACAAAAGUCUGAAACAACAGUUAAGCAAGGGUGGAUGAUCAGAUGAUCAGAGUGGAAGCCUCGAUAUUUUGGAUGGAAAAGAGAUGUGCUUAGUUCUUUAUUACUAGCGCUCUUGAUCCUCAGGGGUUAACAUGUUCUGGUUUGUGCUGUAUUUUGAGGAGAUUAAAACGUUUAAGAAAGAUACACUUUUGAAAAUCUCUGUGCUAAUUUAAAUGAUUUCCUUUCCAUAUUCCCAAGGAGAUGGCUAAAGGAAUGUACAAACUGUAAAACUCUAGUUGAUUUCCCCCUUUAUUUUUACUAUGAUGUUGACUGACUGCUCAAAUAUCUUGAAGCCCUUAAUGUCCUCAUUUGGAGGGGAUUGAUGUGCUCUCUCAUGAAAUCAAAACAGAGCCGGGCAGUGGUGGUACAGGCCUCUAAUCCCAGCACUUGGGAGGCAGAGGCAGACAGAUUUCUGAGUUCGAGGCCAGCCUGGUCUACAGAGUGAGUUCCAGGACAGUCAGGGCUACACAGAGAAACCCUGUCUCAAUAAAACAAAAACAAAACAAAACAAAACAAAAAAAACCCAACAACAACAACAAAACAGAACAAAAACAAAAAAGAAAAAAAAACGGAACAGAACAGAGAGGACAAAACAAAAUCAUAAGCCACUGAGGUGGGGGAGUUUAGCAGCGUCUUGAUUCUUUUAAUUUGUCAACUUGGAACAUGCAAUUUGUUUUAAAAAAAAAAACAUGUAAGCACCCUAUUCUAUGUCCUUGCUUCCCUUUCUUCUGAAAUUUUUAUUCACUUUGUUAUUUUGGGAGUGUUCUACAAUCCAGUAAAAUAUGUUUACUAGAAAAUGUAGUAUGCCAACAUAUGAGCUUCUUUUUCUAAAUAGAGAUUGUUUCUUUAGAGAAGUGAGCAUAAACCAGAAGUUACAAACUGGAGACCUGUUGGCUGGGUUUGGAUGGCAGAUGUGUUUUAUUUGGUCUAAGUUAAAGAUGUUGACCACACAGAGUUUAUCUUUUAAACUGUUUUUGGUUUCAUAGAAAUAAAUUUUAAGUUGUGAGAUCUUGCAUAAGCAUCUAAAUUCCUGGAUUAAAAGAAAAAAAUCACAGAGCCUGUCAACAGCAUAACCACAUUGUCUUUAACAUCUUCAGCUUCAUUGACAUAUGGUAGAACCAACAUGGUUGAAUCGGUACCAAAUACCAACUGCCUUGCUUUAAGAACUCUAAUUAUUCUAGCUAUCCAGCUUUAGAAUGACGGGCACCACUCCGUACAUGUUAUGCUAACCCACUCAUAACAAUCACGAUUUUGUUUUGCCAAAGAUUUGUAAGUAGAUGGGUACCUCCCCAUUGUGUCCCCAUGGAUGAGGGAGGAAGCAUGUUGGGAAAUCUCUGAGGAGUAUUUCUCCAUUCAUCUUUUCUUCUGGUUGUUGACAUCUGGUAUUGCUGCAGCUGUGCUGUGAUCUGGAGACAAGAAUGAUGUGAACAAGAUAGAGCAGGGAGAUAAACAAACUCCAAGUGCACUUCCUAAGAUGUUAUGAACUGGUAGAUGAACAAUUGUUGAACUAGGUCCACGUUUUGCUGGGACUUCUUGUACAAUCAAUAAAUUUUCCUUGUUGUCC